ACAAGCGAUCUGUCCAUCGCAAUGCACGAGAGGGUUCCCUCUCAGGAAUGGGAAUCUCGUACUCCCUAAAGAGAAGAGUAAAAAUCAUGCCGUAUGGGAGGGUGAGCCUAGGUCUAUCUAGGGGCUCACACAUAUACCUAUAGAUGAGUUUGGAGAAGUUGACCGGGGUGUCCUGAAGAAUGUAAGACAUAAUAGCUAGGUCCCUCUCAUUUACAAAAUCAAAUCUUCCUGUCUUAGGGAAGACGGACCUGGACAGAAUACUCAAAAGGAUUCUCACUUCAAUAGGAAGUGAGCUAGCAGAUACCUCGUCUAGGGGGGACUGAGGUGGAUGCCCUAGGAUAGCCGUAAGGGCCUCAACCCUAUCCUCAGGGUGUGCGGGAGCCACCCCUACUAAUGGAUGGAGGAUGUGGGCAAUAAGAUCCUCCGUGACACGCAAAGGGACACCGGCUACUGUGCCCUCGAUACCUCCAUCUCCCCGAUGGACGGUACC
rnacentral:lncRNA from 1 species